rnacentral:lncRNA from 1 species
UGCUCAAAGUCCUCCAUGAACUCUUUCACCAUCUAGGUAGGUGGAGAGGCAAUCCUCCUACCCAAGUACAUGGAUAUGAGAUCAUUGAGAAAACAAGCAACCAGGCUGUAGCCCCAAACUAGAACAAACUAAACAAAACAUCAACCUGGACAAAAUCCCAUGCAGGCCUCCAAAGGCCUUCUCCUAUAUCUUAAUUCAUAAAGCACUCCUUCAGAUAACAAUUGAGAUAAACCAGCAUUUUUAUGUGACUCUGAAUCCUUCAAUAAAAGGAUUAUAUAAUAAAAAGAGAGAUAAGGAAGAUGUUGUGUAUUGAUAGGCAUAACAUGCAAAACAGCUGGCCGUGCCCCACAUGGCACACUCCCUGUGGCUCACUCCAGUGCUGUGCUGAGCAGAACGUAUUGUAGACAUGGCCCUUGUGGGAUCAAGGGCCACAAGGAAACCUGGCAGACAAAAAAAAAGAAUCCCCAGAACAGCUUUUAUGAGACAAAUGAAGAGCAGCCCUACUCUGAAUUUUGAGGUAAGACAACAGAACCUAUUACCAUCUUUACUUUUGGUUCCACUGUCUCAACCAAGCUGUGAGGGUAAAGGUUAA